CAGCCAUCCCCCCUUCUCUUGCGGAGCGCCACCGCAACACCUCUGGGCCUCCCCGACGGCCAUGAGGUAAACACCAAUCGCCGCCGUCCAGCUAAAGGAAAAAAACACCAAUCGCCGCCGCCGCCGUCGGCCUCCGUCCGCCGCCACGAUGAACCGCGUCAAGACGGCUCUCCUCUCCGGACACCGUCCGCACAGUCUCGCGGCGGCUCCACAGCAGCUGGCGGCCGCCGCGUCGUUCCACUCCACCCCCGUCCUGCAGCGGAAGCGCAAGACCCAGUGGCACCACAGGUUCAAUUAUUACACGAAAUGUAGGAGGAACAGAGAAACUAAAAGGACGAUGCUACGGAAUAUGUCGGAGUAUGCAGAUUACCUCUUCCAGAGUUGGCGCGAUGAAGAUGAGAAAACUGAUGCUUCUAGUGGGCCUUCAUGGUUUAGAGGACACCGUUGGGUUCGGAAUUCGAACAAUAAUGGUUUUCAUUCACAUGAUUUUUAUUAUGGAAAUUUCAGAAGCAGAGGAGGAUUCGAGUUUUGCACGAGUGAUGAGGAUGAACCAGAGACUCUUUUUCGUAAUGCUUUUCGGCAGCAGCACACAUAUUAUUGGUCUUUUUCCAAAGAUAGUUUUCAGUGGAGGAACUCCAGACGUGCUCACUCAGAAAACUCCAGAAAUUGGAGUUAUGAAACAGACGAUGAGGACGAUGUAUCUGCUCCAUCAGAAGUAUCUUUGGCACGGCAAGCUCUUGGAUUGAGUAUUUCUGGUCCACUAAAACUCGAAGAUGUUAAAAGCGCGUACCGGACAUGUGCACUUAGAUGGCAUCCAGAUCGCCACAAUGGGUCAUCUAAGGCUAAAGCAGAGGAGAAAUUCAAGCAUUGCAGUGCAGCAUACAAGACCUUAUGUGAUAGUUUGGCAACUGCAUAAAUAAUUUUGAAUGAAGAUCUGAGCUGCAUUAGUCCCUUUCAAACUUUGUAGCUGCAACUCUGAAGAGCCACCAUGUGUUUGCGAAAGCUCCUACCGCCGCAAUACCAAGAAUUGCUUUGCUCUUGCCUCUUGGAGGAAUCGAGUCAGCCCAAAAUUGAUCAAAUAAGACAAGUACUGUACCUUGUAAAAAGGAUCUCACAGGUUAUUGUUGUAUUUUCAGAGAACUGGAUCGCAUGGACAUUUUCUGUGAGCUGCUCUGGAAAUAGCUUGUUGGUUUUGAAGGUGUCCCAAUAGUACAGGAGUUGACAGAUUAAUAGGUACUGAUGCGCAAUUUCAGAUCAUCAGUUCAGACAUGCUUAGCUAAGAUAUACUCGUUCUUUAGUGAAUAUACUCUUUUAGAGUAGACGUUUUGGGUGGGUGCAAUAAAUGGCUGAACAUUGACCAUUGAUAUCGUUUUAUAUCU